rnacentral:rRNA from 1 species
GCUAACUCCGUGCCAGCAGCCGCGGUAAUACGGAGGGUCCGAGCGUUAUCCGGAAUCAUUGGGUUUAAAGGGUCCGUAGGCGGGCCCGUAAGUCAGGGGUGAAAGUUUGUGGCUCAACCAUAAAAUUGCCUUUGAUACUGCGGGUCUUGAGUCAUGGUGGGGUUGCCGGAACAUGUGGUGUAGCGGUGAAAUGCAUAGAUAUCACAUAGAACACCGAUCGCGAAGGCAGGUGACCAACCAUGUACUGACGCUGAUGGACGAAAGCGUGGGUAGCGAACGGGAUUAGAUACCCUAGUAGUC